GUCGCCGUAGUGUAGGGGUUCAGCACCCGGGUCUCCCGGAGGGUGGGUUCAAAUCCCAUCGGUGGCG
rnacentral:tRNA from 1 species